GUCUGAGGGGCAGAUGUGAGGGGAAAGGGGCAGAUUUGAGGGCACAGGGGGAGAUAGGGGAGGGGUGGGAAGCAAACACACAGUGCUGGUGCAUCCCUCCACUGCAGCAGUGCACUGCCUGCCCCUCUGCUGCCACACGGAGCUGUACCUGGUAUAGGGUCGGAGCUUUGAAACCCUGCACAGCUGAGGGACCUCAUGGGAUCGAUCUCUGUGGCUGCAACACACCGGUGUGGAUGGACGGCUUUGCUGCAGUGCACACCCGGCAGGAAUGCACGGCAGCCUCGAGAGGGAAGCUGCUUUACCUCUGAAAUCUUCCUGCUAUGACUGAUAACCGAGCACUGAACAUGGACACACAAACACCUUCUCCUUGCAUCACGUCGCAGCCUUACACCCCUUUUGCUGGCGGAGCUGCUUUCCAUGCAUUUCAGCGUUGGUUUUUUCACUCAAAGCUGUGUUUUUUCGCUCUGUCCUCCUUGUGUUUAGCUGCAAACAUCAGAGGGAGCUGCAGGCUGCUGCUUGGCCCUGUAUGGACACUGCAUGGAGCAAGCAGCCUUUGGUCACUGUGCAGGCAGCUAAUUAGAGCCCUGCGUGCAAUGAAACAAAUGAAAAUGAGUCAUUUUGUGGCCUGAUGGUUACAAGGCAGGUCGAUGGAAGGAAGCCCAGGAGAGAAGGGAUCGUAUGGACAGUGGAGGAAUGUGCUCGGGGUGCUGUCACACCCAUGAAGGGGUGCAGAAAGGACAAGGGAGAAGUGGCUGCUGGUCUCUGGAGUGAAGCUGAAGUGAUCAGCAGUUAUUAGACAAAGAGGAGACGUCAGAAACGCUGCCAGCUGGGAGGCUUCGACUUCCCUGAAAUAAAGCUGAGAACAAACGCUCCUAAAAACGGCACCGAGCCGCUAUUUCUAGAGCUGAUCGCCACCGGAUUGCUUUACCAACCUGGAGCUCACAGCAACCAGCAGCCCCAGCACAGCCAUGCUGCAGGAGGCAGAGGACAUCCUACAUUGCUUUGCAUUGUGGAGCUGCUUCCCAAGCAGAAGAUGGGAACACAGAGAGACCCAUAGAAGCGUCACACGUCCCGCUGUGUCACCCAGGUGCCACCAUCACACUUGUUGUCACAGUGAGCUCCUAUUUUGGGCUGAUGCCGCAGCACCGCGGGGCACUUUGGCUCAGCACAGGGCUAUUUUCAGUGCUGCCCUUCUCCGCACGUGCUCUGAGCUGGUGUCCAACCAUGGGGCACAUUCUAGGGGCGGUGGUAAGGGAAUGGGAUCCUGGAUGGGACAGCAGAGGUGACACCAGAGCUGCUGGGACCAAGGGGACAACCCCAGGCCCUUGUGCUCAGCCCCAUAGAGCUCAGCUCUGCCCCACAGCUUCACCGCUGCCCCAGCCAAAAUCUGGUUCUGAGCUGAGCACCCACAAAUCCAAAGCCACCCCAUCCCCAAAGCCACCCCAUACUGUCUCACUGCCUCGGUUUACCUCAACCCCACAGCCCAGGGCACAUUGGGACCACCACCCCUCCCUAUAGCCCCCCCCCCCAGGGUUGGUUGAAACAAACACGGGCUGGUCCAGCCCCCACCCUUGGGUCGGUCUCAACGCAUUUUUAUUAAAUCCUUACAAAACAGAAUACAAAAUUCUGGCAUCAACAAUGGUUAUAAAGGAAAAAAAACUUCAAUCCAGCUGUAUCAGUUCACCUGGUACAUACAGUAAAGUGCUUGGUGGUUGUAGGGGUUCUUUUUCUUCUCUUCCUUUUUAAUUCUCUUUCUUCUUUUCUUUCCCCUUUUAGUUUUAUUCCCCAGCCCGGCCCCAAGUGGAGGCAGGGGGGUACAAUGCGUCGGCCCAGCUUUGGCAGUCUUCAUCCAUUGUAAAGCAGAGAAA